rnacentral:rRNA from 1 species
AUUGAACGCUGGCGGAAUGCUUUACACAUGCAAGUCGAGCGGCAGCGCGGGAAGGGUAACCGGACUGGCGGCGAGCGGCGAACGGGUGAGUAACACAUCGGAACGUACCCAGUCGUGGGGGAUGACGUGGCGAAAGUCACGCUAAUACCGCAUACGUCCUGAGGGAGAAAGCGGGGGAUCGGUAACGACCUCGCGCGAUUGGAGCGGCCGAUGACUGAUUAGCUAGUUGGUGGGGUAAAGGCCUACCAAGGCGACGAUCAGUAGCUGGUCUGAGAGGACGGCCAGCCACACUGGGACUGAGACACGGCCCAGACUCCUACGGGAGGCAGCAGUGGGGAAUUUUGGACAAUGGGCGCAAGCCUGAUCCAGCCAUUCCGCGUGAGUGAAGAAGGCCUCGGUUGUAAG